AAUGGUGGGAUCGCACAGGUGAUCACCUCUUCCCAUUCCGAACAGAGAAGUUAAGCCCUGUAGCACCGAUGGUACUGCCCUCACAAGGUGGGAGAGUAGGUCCCCGCCACCU
rnacentral:rRNA from 1 species